rnacentral:rRNA from 1 species
UACGUAGGGGACAAGCGUUGUCCGGAAUUAUUGGGCGUAAAGCGCGUGUAGGCGGUUGUUUAAGUUUGGUGUGAAAUCUCCCGGCUCAACUGGGAGGGUGCGCCGAAUACUGAAUGACUUCGAGUGCGGGAGAGGUGAGUGGAAUUCCUGGUGUAGCGGUGAAAUGCGUAGAUAUCAGGAGGAACACCGGUGGUGUAGACGGCUCACUGGACCGUAACUGACGCUGAGACACGAAAGCGUGGGUAGCAAACAGG